rnacentral:rRNA from 1 species
AUUGAACGCUGGCGGCAGGCCUAACACAUGCAAGUCGAGCGGAUGAAGGGAGCUUGCUCCUGGAUUCAGCGGCGGACGGGUGAGUAAUGCCUAGGAAUCUGCCUGGUAGUGGGGGAUAACGUCCGGAAACGGGCGCUAAUACCGCAUACGUCCUGAGGGAGAAAGUGGGGGAUCUUCGGACCUCACGCUAUCAGAUGAGCCUAGGUCGGAUUAGCUAGUUGGUGAGGUAAAGGCCUACCAAGGCGACGAUCCGUAACUGGUCUGAGAGGAUGAUCAGUCACACUGGAACUGAGACACGGUCCAGACUCCUACGGGAGGCAGCAGUGGGGAAUAUUGGACAAUGGGCGAAAGCCUGAUCCAGCCAUGCCGCGUGUGUGAAGAAGGUCUUCGGAUUGUAAAGCACUUUAAGUUGGGAGGAAGGGCAGUAAGUUAAUACCUUGCUGUUUUGACGUUACCAACAGAAUAAGCACCGGCUAACCUCGUG